UAAGUACCACGCACCUUCGUAAGUGGUACAGGACGUUUAUUGGGCCUAAAGUAUCCGUAGCCGGCUUUGCAAGUCUUCGGUUAAAUCCACCUGCUCAACAGAUGGGCUGCUGGAGAUACUACAAAGCUAGGGAGUGGGAGAGGCAGACGGUAUUCAGUGGGUAGGGGUAAAUCCUCUGAUCCAUUGAGGACCACCAGUGGCGAAGGCGGUCUGCCAGAACACGUUCGACGGUGAGGGAUGAAAGCUGGGGGAGCAAACCGGAUUAGAUACCCGGGUAGUCCCAGCUGUAAACGAUGCAAACUCGGUGAUGCAUUGGCUUAUGGCCAAUGCAGUGCCGCAGGGAAGCCGUUAAGUUUGCCGCCUGGGAAGUACGGACGCAAGUCUGAAACUUAAAUGAAUUGACGGUAUCGU
rnacentral:rRNA from 1 species